rnacentral:rRNA from 1 species
UAAACUUCUUUGAUUGGGGAAGAAGAAAGUGACGGUACCCAAAAAACAAGCCACGGCUAAACUACGUGCCAGCAGCCGCGGUAAUACGUAGGUAGCAAGCGUUGUCCGGAAUUACUGGGUGUAAAGGGCGUAGUAGGCGGGGGUAGCAAGUCAGAUGUGAAAGCCCAGGGCUCAACCUUGGGACUAGCAUCUGAAACUGCAUCUCUUGAGUAGCCGGAGAGGAAAGCGGAAUUCCCAGUGUAGCGGUGGAAUGCGUAGAGAUAUGGGAGGAACACCAGUGGCGAAGGCGGGUUUCUGGACGGUAACUUACGCUGAGGCGUGAAUGCGUGGGGAGCAUACAGGAUUAGAUACCCUGGUAGUCCACGCCGUUAACGAUUGGAUAUUAGUGUUAGGGGGUAUCGACCCCCUACUGUGCCGGAGUUAACACAAUAAGUAUCCCACCUGGGGACUACGAUCGCAAGAUUGAAACUCAAAGGAAUUGACGGGGGCCCCGCACAAGCAGUGGAGUAUGUGGUUUAAUUCGAAGCAACGCGAAGAACCUUACCAGGGCUUGACAUCCUGCGACGACACUAGAGAUAGUGUUUUCCUACGGGACGCAGAGACAGGUGGUGCAUGGUUUGUCGUCAGCUCGUGUCGUGAGAUGUUGGGUUAAGUCCCGCAACGAGCGCAACCCUUGUUGUUAGUUGCCAGCAGGUUAAGCUGGCUACUCUAACGAGACUGCCGGUGACAAGUCGGAGG